UUCAUUUAAAGGGAAAUCAUUAUUGGAAAAUACUUUACAAAUGUAAUCAGAAAAGUAUAAAUAUAAGGGUAAGAUUUUCUAUAAUCGAAAAUUACAAUAAAUAAUUUUUUUCCUAACAGAGUUUGUAAAGUCAUUUUUUAGAACAAACUUAAUUGUUGCCCUUAUUUAUUGAAUUGUAUACUGUAGGAGAAGCUAAAAGAUGCCUUUCCCUCCAUGAUCCUUCAUCAUAUGUAUGAUGACAAGGGUAGCAAGAAAGGAUGUAAAGCCCUUGAUACCCUUGUUGCGGGUGUUAUUUACACAACUCAAAAAAUGGUUUUAGCAUCAUGAGGGAAAUGGUUGGUACCCCACCCCCGCCCAAAAAACCCCCGAUCAUUUGGCAUUUUCUAAGUAGUCUAGAAUGAAUUCCUAGGAUUUAAAAUUUUCAACAAUAGCUUUGACGGCUUAAAUGCAUUCCAAGAAAAACCUAGCCCUCUGUUUGGUUUCCAAGAAAAUACAGGAAUGAAAGAAAACAAUAUUUUAGAGAAACAAAAGUUUUUGUUAUUAAAUUGGACUGCAUAUUGUUAUAUUUGAGUAGAAUUUUAAGUAAAUUUUGGAAUAGAAAGGAAGGGUUUUGCUAGAAAGAGAAGGGACAUGAAAAUGUUGAUUAGUAGAGAAUAAAGUGGUGGGCAUUUUUGACAAUAGAAACCCUAGCUGCUUAUCUGUCUCUUUUAUUAUUAUUUUGUCACCUCCAAAAACGUAAGGAGAAAGGGUUGAUUUGUAAGUUGGACAUUGAAAAAGCCUAUGACAGCAUAAGUUGGGAUUUCCUUAUGAAGAUUCUGCGUAAAUUGGGCUUUGGGUCUAGGUGGAUGGAGUGGAUUUGGUGGUGCAUCUCUACUGCCAAGUUCUCUGUUCUUGUUAAUGGUGUGCCAGCAGGUUUCUUUUCAAGCACCAAGGGGUUGCGUCAGGGAGAUCCCCUCUCUCCUUACCUCUUUGUUUUGGGUAUGGAAGUGCUUAGUGCACUGUUAAGAAGGGCGACUGUCGGGGGAUUCUUUUCAGGCUGCAAAUUUUGGGGGAGGGGCAGGAUGGAGCUAAAUAUUUCUCAUUUGCUUUUUGCGGAUGACACAAUUAUUUUUUGUGAAGCAAGGAAAGAAAACAUGACUUUUCUAAGCUGGAUUUUGGCUUGGUUCGAGGCUGCGUCUGGGUUAAGGAUAAAUCUAGCCAAAAGUGAGUUAAUUCCAGUUGGCGAAGUGGAAGAGAUUGAGGAGAUGGCUGUGGAGCUAGGUUGUAGGGUGGGGUCUUUGCCCAAUGUGUAUUUGGGGCUGCCGUUAGGGGUUCCUCACAAGGCUUCCUCGAUGUGGGAUGGGGUGGAGGAGAAGAUGAGGAGGAGAUUAGCCUUGUGGAAGAGGCAAUACAUUUCCAAAGGCGGGAGGGUUACCCUCAUUAAGAGCACGUUGGCCAGCAUGCCAAUCUACCAACUGUCCCUGUUUCGAAUGACCAAGAUGGUGGCGAGAAGGCUUGAAAAGCUCCAAAGAGACUUUCUUUGGGGAGGGGGAAGCUUGGAAAGGAAAGUCCAUUUAAUUAACUGGGAGGCGGUGUGUGCUCAAAAGGAGAAGGGGGGCCUUGGCAUUAGGAGGAUUGCCCGUUUGAACAAGGUUUUGUUGGGAAAAUGGUUAUGGAGGUUUGCCUUUGAAGAAGAUAAGCUGUGGAAGAAGGUGAUUAUGGAGAAGUUUGGUCAAGAGGGCCUUGGUUGGAGGACUAAUGAGGCUUGUGGGACGUUUGGAGUGGGAGUUUGGAAGGAGAUUCUGAAGGAAGCUGAUUGGUGUUGGAAUAACAUAGAGUUCAAGGUUGGUAAAGGGACCAAAGUUAGGAUCUGGACUGACCAUUGGUGCGGCAAUGCAGCGCUGUCCCAAACUUUCCCUCUUUUAUUCGAUUUGGCAGCUCAUAGGAAUGCAACGGUGAACGAAGUUUGGGACCCUAGCUUUGGCCAAGGAAGUUGGAAUAUCAGUUUCUCUAGAGACUUUAACGAUUGGGAGGUGGAUUUGGUUGGUAAUUUGCUGUACAUGCUAAGGGAUUACAAAAUCUCUUCAGAAGAGGAUUCGGUUUUAUGGAAAGGUGGGGGAAGUGGCAUCUUUAGGGUUAAGGAGGCUUACAACCUCCUUGUUGCUUCGAAUGAUAUUGUAUUCCCGAAUAAGGGCAUUUGGGUGGACAAGGUCCCAACUAAAGUUGUGUUUUUUGCUUGGGAGGCCACGUGGGGAAAGGUCCUAACUUUGGAUAGGCUACAAAGAAGGGGGUGGCAGUUCCCUAACCGAUGUUUUUUGUGUGGGUGUGAAGAGGAGACUGUAAAUCAUAUUCUUCUACAUUGUACAGUGGUCCGGGUCCUUUGGGAGAUUGUCUUCGUCUUGUUUGGCAUUCAGUGGGUGUUCCCUGAAACGGUUAAAGAUAUGCUUUUCAGUUGGAGGGGUUCUUUUGUGGGGAAAAAAAGGAAAAAGGUUUGGACUUCCAUCCCGUUGUGUAUUUUUUGGACGGUUUGGAAGGAAAGGAAUAGAUUAGCUUUUAGGGGGGGAUUCUUAUCUAUACAGAAACUCAAAAAUUCUUUUGUAUGUAAUUUGUGGAGUUGGGCUAGGGUGUAUAUUGGAGAGGAGUCCUCUUCACUCAUAGGCUUUCUAGAGUGGCUCGCGUCCAAUUGAGGGUAGGUAGGAUUGUGGGCUUUUUGUGGCUUUUGGGUUUGGCUGCUUUGUAUACGUCCUGUAUGCUGUGUGGCUUUUUGCCUUUUUAAUAUAACAUCUGCUUACUUAUCAAAAAAAAAAAAAAAAAUUAUUAUUUUGUCACCUCUCCAAACCUGAAUCUUCAAUCAAUUUCUAUUUUGUGGAAAGCAAGGCUCGCCCUUUUUAUUUAUUUAUUUUAUGUUUUGUUCCUGAGGAAACGGAGGAAAGGUGAAAGUAACUGACAAUUUCAGUCAUUUGAUUUCAGUCGCCUUUUUUUUCUCUUGUUUUCAUGUCCUUGCCUUUUUUUCUCAGCAACCAAAUGGAAGAUAGCUUUUUUCCAUCUUUAUUUGAAAUAAUUUUAAUAAGGGAUGCUGUCCUAGUUUGUGUUUUUUUCCUCUGGUUGCUCAGAAGACAGUGGAAAUGUGAAGAAAGUAAAAAUUGUGAAUCUUUAUGCAUUCUCAAUGCCUUUGUGUUGUUGCUGAGGACUCAAAACUUGGGAGCACAUUGUGAUUUUUUAACUCUUGUAGCUCAUUUUUGCUUUAUAGUUUAUAUGUUUUUACAGUUUUCCGUAGAAUCCAUAAGUUUCAAUUGAAAGUAAUUCCCAAGAGAAUUUUCUGCUAGACUCUCCAUGGAGAUUUUAUCUUCUCAUAUAUUCCUAAUGCAAAGAAAAUUUAUCUAUUUUUUUGGGGAAAAUUCUUUUUCAACACAAAAAACUUAGUCACUUGUAAAACUCAAUAGAGUGAAUGAGUUAAUGAUGCCGCAAUGCGAAACUCAGAUUUUGAGUUGACAAUUUUGGUUGGGAGUUCUCAGUGGUUGCUAUCCCUAUGGUACUUCAUUAUGUCUAGAUUUGAAUAUGAGGUCAGUAUAGGUGAUAUUGAACCUGUACUGUGUAAUGAUAUGUGACAUUUCAAAGAAAAAAAAAUCCUUUUUUUUCUUUGGUAACACCAUAUGGAAUAUUUGUCUCAGUGAAUAAAACCAAAAUGAUUCCCUGCUUGUUGAAAAAUGUAUUCACAUUACUCCUUUAAUUUUGAAAGGAGUUGAAUCUAUUGGAUUAGAAAUGGACUGACAAGUGACAAGUCAGAAUUUCUUUUGGUAAUUGCAUGAGAUGAUCUGAGUUGCCGACUAAAGGCAAAUAUCUUGCAUCACAAUGCAUCAUGAGACAUAUUCAUAUGGUUACUAACUGUAUUGUAUUAGGUAGUUUAGCUAAUGAAACCCAGGAUUUGUGCCAAAGAAACUGUUAUAUGCAUACUAGAUGCUUGAUUGGCUGAGGCACUAUUGGUAAUAUCAUGACCACCUUUUACUUAGUUACCAAAGGUGUUGGAUUUUGGUUAUUUUAUGAUUAUACUUGUUUUAAAAAAAAUGAAGGAAAUGUUUUUGUCAUAUAGCAUGAUAUCUGAUUUAUUUCUUCCAUUUUGUGUUCUUAUUUCACACGAAUUAUUCUGUGUAAUGAUUGUAAGUGAUCUUGAAUCCAGGUUUUUCUUUUUUCCCUCCUUCUUUGAGAUUUAUUAAACCUGUUCAUCAUAAAAAUUCUUCUGUUAGAGAUAUCUGAU
rnacentral:lncRNA from 1 species